AACCCGCAAUGAUGCCAAAUUUUGCAGACAAGUCCAAAAUGACAUAACAGAGCUGCUCCAACUCUUGGAAUCGCAUUCCGUCCCCAAUAUCACAAAAGUCAACUAUGGGUCAAACUUUCUCCAUUUUCCAAACUUCAACUUUUCCAACUUUCGCCAAAAUGCCUCAAUUUACCAUACGGACCUCCAAAUUUGAAUCCGGAUGCGCGCCUAAGUCCAUAAUCACUAUACGAAGCUGUUGGAUUCAUCAAAAAUUCAUUCCGGGGCCGUUUACUCAAAAGUCCAGUUCCGAUCAAAUUCUCACCUUUCAAACUUCCAAAACUAGAUUCCUUCUUCCAAUUUGACUCUGAAUCAUCCAUUGACUGAAUUCAACCAUACAUGCAAGUCGAUUCUCGUAUUAUGAAGCUGUUCAAGACCAUGCGCCACUGAACGGAGCUUAAAUUCUCAAAAUGACCGGACGAGUCGUUACAACAGUAGCCUAGUUUACUUCUCUUUUUCAAUCAAGCACAUAGAGUACAACACAAAUAGAUAUACCUAGCAGAGAUUUUAUAACAACAAACACUUAAGGUUAAUUAGAAGCUUGAUUCAUAAAUUUCAGAUGAGCACACACAAAAAUUUGACUUGAGGCAGACAUAGUCAAAAAUGAUCCUAACACUUCAAACAGACUUCUCGUUUGAAAAACCGAGAGUCAGUAAAGGCAACUUCAAAAGGAUUCAACUAGUCAUUCUCAGAAUCAGCUCGCAAAUAGUAAAACACUGAUAACAGGAUUCAAAAGAAUCUAAGCUCGAAUUAAGAGUAAAUGAACAUAAAAGGGUCCAAAGUUCCACUUAGCAUACAUGCAAUUUGAAUGUAAGACCAAAUAAGACCUUGAUUCACUCAAAAUCCAUGCCAAAAGCCAAACAACUUUAUGGAAAGAAACUGACGAACCAAGACGAUAUUUCAAAGCACCUAUCUCUUUAAAUAAACCAUUUAGAAACUAACACCAUUAGCAGCAAAACCAAACCGAUUCAAAUGUAGAAGAAAUUAAUGUGAACUUAAAGAGAACUAAUUGCAAAAUAAAAAAUAUUCAAAUCUGUUCUUGAUUUUUAAUCUAGCAACGUGUAUACUAAUUUAAGACUCUCAAAGAAAGUUAAACACCAAAUUAAUGCAACCAAGUAACCGGAUAUGCAGCCAUAAACUAGAUUAUUCACAUUUCCAUAAAGAUACAUGAAUACCAUAUUCAGAAUAGAGUAACAGAAUGGAUGCCUCAGUUUUUAAAGCUUGCAUUCACAACUUCAGGAAAAUUGACACAUGAAUACAAUCAAAGCGACAUAAAAAAACCACGGCUCUUAUCAUGUUUUCAACCAAUCAUCAAAAGCAAUUAAGGAAGAACCAAGAAAUGAACCUGAGAAUGCAAAAUUCUUCAAUUAAACUUGUUUGGACUCGAAUACAAUAAAUCCGACAAUGAAUACUUAAAACAAUAGCAACAGACAAAUAGGAACCGAACCAACGACAAAACUCGAAUGACAAACUUGAUUUUCGGCUCAAUCAAUCUCCAUGUUGAAACCAAAAUUCAAAAUUAAAAUUGAAGAUAUAUAUAUAUAUUUUCUGAAUUCAAAAUCUAAAAAAAAAUAGAAUUCAACAAGACCCCCAACCCCCCCCCCCCCAAAAAAAAUCAAAACUAGAAAUGAGAAGAAAACCCCUUUUUGUGAAACCCUAAUUUUUCUUCCAAAUCUCCUCCUCUUUUCCGAAUCAAAUCCUCUCUUUUAUAGACACAUUUUGAAAAGAUAGAGGGAUAGGAUUAACCUUAAAUCAAUCCUAAGGCUCCUAUCUCUCUAGCACAUGUCUUCUAGAGAGAUCGAUGCGUGAUUUUGGUUAGUAGGAAGCGAGUGAAAGAGGGAUGUGAGUAUUGAGAAUAUUCCUUCUGUCAGAGGCCGUUAGGGUUGGUGACGUGGAAGAAGGUAUAGAGACGGGGUGACCAUGUGUAGGUUUAGAGGUGAACUCGCCUGAAACUCAGACGAGUUUUGGGCGAUCUUGGACGAGACAGAAACGGAGCUGGGGGUGGGCGCCAUUUUGGUUGUGAGGGGAUUAGGUCUAGGGUUUAUUUUGUG
rnacentral:lncRNA from 1 species